UGCACACUAGAUCCUUCUACUGAAAAACAUGAGAAUCACACCUGACAAGGUGAAUGAACACCAUGCCUCACCAGAAGCCCCGCCUCCACAGGUGAAGAACAUUAGAAUCACACCUGACAAGGCCAAUGAACACCAUGCCUCACCAGAAGCCCCGCCUUCCACAGGUGAAGAACAUUAGAAUCACGCCUGACAAGGCCAAUGAACACCAUGCCUCACCAGAAGCCCCGCCUCCACAGGUGAAGAACAUUAGAAUCACGCCUGACAAGGCCAAUGAACACCAUGCCUCACCAGAAGCCCCGCCUUCCACAGGUGAAGAACAUUAGAAUCACGCCUGACAAGGCCAAUGAACACCAUGCCUCACCAGAAGCCCCGCCUUCCACAGGUGAAGAACAUUAGAAUCACGCCUGACAAGGCCAAUGAACACCAUGCCUCACCAGAAGCCCCGCCUUCCACAGGUGAAGAACAUUAGAAUCACGCCUGACAAGGCCAAUGAACACCAUGCCUCACCAGAAGCCCCGCCUUCCACAGGUG